rnacentral:rRNA from 1 species
AGUAACACGUGGAUAACCUACCUAUAAGACUGGGAUAACUUCGGGAAACCGGAGCUAAUACCGGAUAAUAUUUUGAACCGCAUGGCUCAAAAGUGAAAGACGGUCUUGCUGUCACUUAUAGAUGGAUCCUCGCUGCAUUAGCUAGUUGGUAAGGUAACGGCUUACCAAGGCAACGAUGCAUAGCCGACCUGAGAGGGUGAUCGGCCACACUGGAACUGAGACACGGUCCAG